GAUGAACGCUGGCGGCGUGCCUAAUACAUGCAAGUCGAGCGAACAGACGAGGAGCUUGCUCCUUCGACGUUAGCGGCGGACGGGUGAGUAACACGUAGGUAACCUACCUAUAAGACUGGGAUAACUUCGGGAAACCGGAGCUAAUACCGGAUAAUAUUUCGAACCGCAUGGUUCGAUAGUGAAAGAUGGCUUUGCUAUCACUUAUAGAUGGACCUGCGCCGUAUUAGCUAGUUGGUAAGGUAACGGCUUACCAAGGCAACGAUACGUAGCCGACCUGAGAGGGUGAUCGGCCACACGGGAAGUGAGACACGGUCCAGACUCCUAAGGGAGGCAGCAGUAGGGAAACUGCAGCAAUGGGAGAAAGCCUGACGAAGCAACGCCGCGUGAGUGAUGAAGGUCUGCGGAUCGUAAAACUCUGUUAUUAGGGAAGAACAGACGUGUAAGGAACUGUGCACGUCUUGACGGUACCUAAUCAGAAAGCAACGGCUAACUACGUG
rnacentral:rRNA from 1 species